rnacentral:rRNA from 1 species
UACAGAGGGGGCAAGCGUUGUUCGGAAUUACUGGGCGUAAAGGGCGCGUAGGCGGCCACCUAAGUCAGACGUGAAAUCCCCUCGGCUCAACCGGGGAACUGCGUCUGAUACUGGGUGGCUUGAAUUCGGGAGAGGGAUGUGGAAUUCCAGGUGUAGCGGUGAAAUGCGUAGAUAUCUGGAGGAACACCGGUGGCGAAGGCGACAUCCUGGACCGGUAUUGACGCUGAGGCGCGAAAGCCAGGGGAGCAAACGGG